UGGCACUGCACUGAGUCAUUGGC
rnacentral:miRNA from 1 species